CACACCCAUCAUCCAGCACUCACACACCCAUCAUCCAUCACUCACACCCAUCAUCCAUCACUCACACACAUCAUUCAGCACUCACACACAUCAUCCAGUACACACACAUACACACACAUCAUCCAGCACUCACACACACAUCAUCCAGCACUCACACACACACACCAUCCAGCACUCACACACACAUCAUCUAGCACACACAUCAUCCAGCACUCACACACAUCAUCCAGCACUCACACACAUCAUCCAGCACUCAC